GUGGGGAAUAUUGGACAAUGGGGGGAACCCUGAUCCAGCCAUGCCGCGUGUGUGAAGAAGGCCUUUUGGUUGUAAAGCACUUUAAGCGAGGAGGAGGCUACCGAGAUUAAUACUCUUGGAUAGUGGACGUUACUCGCAGAAUAAGCACCGGCUAACUCUGUGCCAGCAGCCGCGGUAAUACAGAGGGUGCAAGCGUUAAUCGGAUUUACUGGGCGUAAAGCGCGCGUAGGUGGCCAAGUAAGUCAAAUGUGAAAUCCCCGAGCUUAACUUGGGAAUUGCAUUAGAUACUGGUUGGCUAGAGUAUGGGAGAGGAUGGUAGAAUGCCAGGUGAAGCGGUGAAAUGCGUAGAGAUCUGGAGGAAUACCGAUGGCGAAGGCAGCCAUCUGGCCUAAUACUGACACUGAGGUGCGAAAGCAUGGGGAGCAAACAGGAUUAGAAACCCUUGUAGUCC
rnacentral:rRNA from 1 species